GUAGGGAAUAUUGCGCAAUGGGGGAAACCCUGACGCAGCGACGCCGCGUGAGUGAUGAAGGCCUUCGGGUCGUAAAGCUCUGUUGCAGGGGAAUAAAAAAAUGAAGGUACCCUGUGAGGAAGGAUCGGCUAACUUCGUGCCAGCAGCCGCGGUAAGACGAGGGAUCCUAGCGUUGCUCGGAAUCAUUGGGCGUAAAGAGGGCGUAGGUGGCUUGGUAAGUCAGGUGUGAAAGCCCAGGGCUCAACCCUGGAAGUGCAUUUGAUACUGCUGAGCUUGAGUGUCGGAGAGGUUACCGGAAUACCUGGUGUAGUGGUGAAAUACGUAGAUAUCAGGUGGAACACCGGAGGCGAAGGCGGGUAACUGGACGAACACUGACACUGAGGCCAGAAAGCGUGGGGAUCAAACAGGAUUAGAUACCCCGGUAGUCC
rnacentral:rRNA from 1 species